GGCAGUUUGUGAAUUAUGUAAGUGGAUCAUUCCACAAAACCCUAUGUAAGUCAAAACGUAUAUAUGUUGAAGCAUAUCUUAUAUAUAGCACUAGCGUGUCAUAAUGAUGUAACUCUAAAAAUAGUUAUAUUAAAGAAUAAGCACAUAAAUUGCCUGAUAAAGCAACCACUUAUCUUGAAAGAUCCAGACUCAAUUCCAAGUCCCACAUCUCCAGUUUUUUGGAGAAGUCUGGAUUUAUGCCUAAAAAUAAUCCUACAUAAGUAUGGAACUAUUGUAUGUCAGGGAUUGCCUGUAUUUCAUUUAUUAAUAUUUUUUUAUUUAUUUAAUAUCAAAUAUAUAAUAAUUUUAUAGAUUUCGAGAUGCAGGAGCAGAAGUGAU
rnacentral:lncRNA from 1 species